UUUAGAACUCUCAAGCACAUCACCACUGCCUGUAGCUGCUUCUCCCUGUGCUGCUCGCACUGGACCCAUUAAGACCGGUGGCCGAGUUUUUGUGUUGGACCAUAACAGAUGGACGGAUCCAAUGAGAAAUGCCAUUGAUGGUUUGCUGGCCAAGCAUCACGGGAGCAAGGAUCUCCUUACAAAGGUGGAUGCUGAAUAUGCUGCUAUGGUACAGAGUGCCUGUACUGACCCCAACAGCCUUCUGCAUUCCACCACAAAGCAGCACAUAAGCAGGUACAUAAAACACCUUGCUAAAAAAAAGAACACUAAUGCUUCUCUCAACACCAGCCCAGAAAAGCUCUUGGAGACACAGCAGUUAUGGCAGCGUCUUCACUCAGGCAGUGAAACCAUCAGUGUCCCAGUGACAGUACUGCCACCUGCCCCAGUCAAUCCACCUGCAAAGGCUGUUCCUGAAGCUGUCCCUCUGGACCAGACAGCGUUCGAGAAGAUGGUGAAGGACAUCGUAGAGAAGCAACAGGCAGUUCAGCAGCAACAACAAUUGCAGGCGCCGCAAAAAAAGCAAACCAGAUCCUGUUUAGCCUGUGGCCAGCCUAAGUCUCGAUACAUGGGUGAUGGCUCCUCAAUACAUUUCUUUUAUCAAGGUAGUGAUGUUAAAUACUUCUACUGCUCCAAGAAAGUAUUUGACACAUAUUCAGCAGAGGGCCUGACCAACCCCAGAAUGCCUUUUGAAGACUUUGCAGGGACUCCUUUUUUUCAGCGGGAACUGGAGGCCUCUAAGCAGAGAGGGGCAGAAAGGAAGAGGGUCACUGAGGAGAGAAGCAAGCGGAAGUCAGCAGUGGAGCAUCCUACUGGUCGUCUGUGCAGAUUCUGCCACCUGCCACUGAAACAAGGACCCAACAGUCCUCAUAUUCAUACCGCUUUACCUGGAGUGGCAGGCAAAUACAUUUACUGUCCUGCUAAAGUGUUUUCUCUUUAUCAGGCUCAAGGAAUGAGUGCAGAAAUGUCAUGGAGAGACUUUCAGCAGUCUCCAUUCUAUGAGACUGAGAAGCAGAGGUGGAUGAAGGAAAAGCAAAAAUGACUUCACUGUGCUACAAAACAGUAUUUGAGGUCUGGGCAUGUCAUUUGCCAAAGACAUUCCUUGCACAAGGUUAUGUAUAUGUGUAUAUAUAUUUUGUUGCAUUUUUUAAUUUUUAAAUUAAAUUUUGUUUUUUUUUUAAUUUCAUUUAUUUACAUUUGUUCAUUAAAAUACCAAAAGGAUUAUAUUUUAUUGUAUUGCAUUGUAUUUUAGUGGGGUUUUAUUUUGUUGACUUGCAUUGUUUAUCGUGCUCAGUUUUG
ensembl:lncRNA